GCAAGCAGCUGGGAUCUCUACCCGUCCGCUCAACCAGGGAAGAGCGGGGGAAGUGCAGCUUUUACUUCCCAGAUUUGUCCGAGAGGCUGCGACGUAAGGAACCGGGAGUCCAGCCACUAUCAUUCCCAUCCUCGCCCGGCAGCAAGGAUUGUAUUUGCGCAGCUUUGGGAAAAUGAAGAAAUAUCACCAAAUGAAGAGAUAAUUAAGUUAUUGGACUGUGCAGAAAUGGACAGAUGUACAUUGAAGAUUAAACAG